AGAGUUUGAUCCUGGCUCAGGAUGAACGCUGGCGGCGUGCCUAAUACAUGCAAGUCGAGCGAACGGACGAGAAGCUUGCUUCUCUGAUGUUAGCGGCGGACGGGUGAGUAACACGUGGAUAACCUACCUAUAAGACUGGGAUAACUUCGGGAAACCGGAGCUAAUACCGGAUAAUAUUUUGAACCGCAUGGUUCAAAAGUGAAAGACGGUCUUGCUGUCACUUAUAGAUGGAUCCGCGCUGCAUUAGCUAGUUGGUAAGGUAACGGCUUACCAAGGCAACGAUGCAUAGCCGACCUGAGAGGGUGAUCGGCCACACUGGAACUGAGACACGGUCCAGACUCCUACGGGAGGCAGCAGUAGGGAAUCUUCCGCAAUGGGCGAAAGCCUGACGGAGCAACGCCGCGUGAGUGAUGAAGGUCUUCGGAUCGUAAAACUCUGUUAUUAGGGAAGAACAUAUGUGUAAGUAACUGUGCACAUCUUGACGGUACCUAAUCAGAAAGCCACGGCUAACUACGUGCCAGCAGCCGCGGUAAUACGUAGGUGGCAAGCGUUAUCCGGAAUUAUUGGGCGUAAAGCGCGCGUAGGCGGUUUUUUAAGUCUGAUGUGAAAGCCCACGGCUCAACCGUGGAGGGUCAUUGGAAACUGGAAAACUUGAGUGCAGAAGAGGAAAGUGGAAUUCCAUGUGUAGCGGUGAAAUGCGCAGAGAUAUGGAGGAACACCAGUGGCGAAGGCGACUUUCUGGUCUGUAACUGACGCUGAUGUGCGAAAGCGUGGGGAUCAAACAGGAUUAGAUACCCUGGUAGUCCACGCCGUAAACGAUGAGUGCUAAGUGUUAGGGGGUUUCCGCCCCUUAGUGCUGCAGCUAACGCAUUAAGCACUCCGCCUGGGGAGUACGACCGCAAGGUUGAAACUCAAAGGAAUUGACGGGGACCCGCACAAGCGGUGGAGCAUGUGGUUUAAUUCGAAGCAACGCGAAGAACCUUACCAAAUCUUGACAUCCUUUGACAACUCUAGAGAUAGAGCUUUCCCCUUCGGGGGACAAAGUGACAGGUGGUGCAUGGUUGUCGUCAGCUCGUGUCGUGAGAUGUUGGGUUAAGUCCCGCAACGAGCGCAACCCUUAAGCUUAGUUGCCAUCAUUAAGUUGGGCACUCUAAGUUGACUGCCGGUGACAAACCGGAGGAAGGUGGGGAUGACGUCAAAUCAUCAUGCCCCUUAUGAUUUGGGCUACACACGUGCUACAAUGGACAAUACAAAGGGCAGCGAAACCGCGAGGUCAAGCAAAUCCCAUAAAGUUGUUCUCAGUUCGGAUUGUAGUCUGCAACUCGACUACAUGAAGCUGGAAUCGCUAGUAAUCGUAGAUCAGCAUGCUACGGUGAAUACGUUCCCGGGUCUUGUACACACCGCCCGUCACACCACGAGAGUUUGUAACACCCGAAGCCGGUGGAGUAACCUUUUAGGAGCUAGCCGUCGAAGGUGGGACAAAUGAUUGGGGUGAAGUCGUAACAAGGUAGCCGUAUCGGAAGGUGCGGCUGGAUCACCUCCUUUCU
rnacentral:rRNA from 1 species